rnacentral:rRNA from 1 species
AGGACGAACGCUGGCGGCGUGCCUAACACAUGCAAGUCGAACGAGAAAGUGGAGCAAUCCAUGAGUAAAGUGGCGCACGGGUGAGUAACACGUGACUAACCUACCCUUGAGUGGGGGAUAACCUAGAGAAAUCUGGGCUAAUACCGCAUAAUACCUUCGGGUCAAAGGAGCAAUUCGCUUAAGGAGGGGGUCGCGGCCGAUUAGUUAGUUGGCGGGGUAAUGGCCCACCAAGACUGUGAUCGGUA